CACACUGUAAACGAUGUGCACUAGGUGCUGGGGCGGAUGCUUCAGUGCCGGAGCUAACGCGGUAAGUGCACCGCCUGGGGAGUAUGCUCGCAAGGGUGAAACUCAAAGGAAUUGACGGGGGCCCGCACAAGCGGUGGAGCAUGUGGUUUAAUUCGAUGGUACGCGAGGAACCUUACCUGGGUUUGACAUACAGUGGAAUGUGGUAGAGAUAUCACAGUGUAGCAAUACACCGCUGUACAGGUGC
rnacentral:rRNA from 1 species